ensembl:miRNA
ACUUGUGAGGAAAUAAAGGAAGUUAGGCUGAGGGGCAGAGAGCGAGACUUUUCUAUUUUCCAAAAGCUCGGUCUGAGGCCCCUCAGUCUUGCUUCCUACCCCGCGCUUGAGUUUCUCCCC